CCCUUCUUUUCCUACAGCUUAAAGAGCUGUUCUGACCACAUUUCUUAGACAAGGACAUGUUAAGAAUCUCACACCAGAGGCAGGCAGUUUUGUCACCAGAGCAUCUCUCCCCUAAAAGUCCCUACAACGUCUCUAAGAAGAGAUCUAAGCCCCUGUCAUUCAUCCUCAACCUCAGAGCAACCUGGGUCAAGUUCCCUAGUCACCGCAUUUUUAUUUGUUUGUGGAGAGUCUCCCAGAAAGGAGCUCCCUGCCUAUUCACUGCCUGGCCAUGACCUUGGUGUUCACCUUGAUGCUUGGGGUGCUCCUGUUCCUGAGAGGGACCGGAGCCCAGUCAGUGACCCAGCCUGACGUCCACAUCACUGUCUCUGAGGGAGCCUCUCUGGAGCUGAGGUGCAGGUAUUCAUCUUCUCUUCCACCGUAUCUCUUCUGGUACAUGCAAUAUCCCAACCAAGGACUCCAGCUUCUUCUGAAGUACACAUCUGGAAACAGCCGUGUUUCAGUCAUCAAAGGUUUUGAGGCUGAAUUAAACAGGAGUGACACCUCCUUCCACCUGAGGAAAUCUUCAGGCCAUUGGAGCGACUCGGCCAAGUACUUCUGUGCUGUGAGUGACACAGUACCUGCAACUGCAGGGGGAGCUGAACACAAACCUCCUGAGACGCUGUAG